rnacentral:sRNA from 1 species
AAAGCCUGGGUUACCCCCACUUCUCAGUACGCGGACCUGUCCGACGCUGCCAACCGGAACCACGAGGCCCUGCGCCAGGCCAAGCAGGAGAUGAACGAGUCCCGACGCCAGAUCCAGAGUCUAACGUGCGAGGUGGACGGGCUGCGCGGCACGAACGAGGCGCUGCUCAGGCAGUUGAGAGAGCUGGAGGAGCAGUUCGCCCUGGAGGCGGGGGGCUACCAGGCGGGCGCUGCGCGGCUCGAGGAGGAGCUGCGACAGCUAAAGGAGGAGAUGGCGCGGCACCUGAGGGAGUACCAGGAGCUCCUCAACGUCAAGAUGGCCCUGGACAUCGAGAUCGCCACCUACCGCAAGCUGCUGGAGGGCGAGGAGAGCCGGAUCUCCGUGCCCGUCCAUUCUUUUGCCUCCUUAAAUAUAAAGACGACUGUGCCUGAGGUGGAGCCUCCCCAGGACAGCCACAGCCGGAAGACGGUUCUGAUCAAGACCAUUGAGACCCGGAAUGGGGAGGUGGUGACAGAGUCCCAGAAGGAGCAGCGCAGUGAGCUGGACAAGUCUUCUGCCCACAGUUACUGAACCCCUUGGUCCGGAGCCUUGACUCUGCCCUAGGCCUGCUCAAAGCCCAAACCCUAAGACCACUCCUGAAUCGUCUCCUCUCCCUCUGCAUGUGUCUAAAAGGUGGUACCAGGCAUCCCUUUCCUGGCUUAUGGCCAAGCCCUACCCGGCCAGCAGUCGCUGGGCCUCUCCCUGCCCUGACACUUGAUGUGACCUAUGUGCUUCCCUUUUCAUGUCCCGAUAAGAAGCCAAUGAUCCCCCCUCAGGACAAAUCUACUCCAGCCACGAUGAGAAGUGGGUCUGAGU